GACAGAGGCCUCGAGCGUUAGGCGGAAUCACUGGGCUUAAAGCGUGUGUAGGCGGGUCGUUAAGUGUCUUGUGAAAUCCCACGGCUCAACCGUGGAACGGCUGGGCAUACUGGCGACCUUGAGCAGCCUAGGGGCGAGCGGAACAAACGGUGGAGCGGUGAAAUGCGUAGAUAUCGUUUGGAACGCCGAUGGUGAAAACAGC
rnacentral:rRNA from 1 species